ACGUGGUGGCCAUACCGAAAAGGUUUUCCAUUCUCGAUAGAUUUAAUAGUCGUAGUGGUGUUACGGAAAUCAUCUAGAAUAAUGAAGUUCAUAGUAACGCUCGCAUGCCUUUUUGCCCUUGUGCUAGCCGUUGCUUUUGCUCUGCCAGCCGUCAAUGAUGAAAGUAUAAUUGCCGUUCCAUCCGAUGCCCUCGUAAUGAACGAGGCUGAGAAUCCGCAGGAUCCACAGGGUACCUUCGGAUUGUUGCUGCUGAAGAAGAAAUUACUACUCUUAGGGUAAAGUUUGGAGUCGUAUUUUUUUGCGAAUAAAAAACUGCCAUUUAAGUUCUAAGCACUCAAUAAAA